rnacentral:tRNA from 1 species
GGGCCAUGGUGUAGCUUGGCAGCAUUCAGGCUUUGGGAGCCUGCGACCUGAGUUCAAACGCGCUGCUGGUGCG